UUUCGACAGUGUUAUAUGUUAAUGUUCAUGUCUAACAUUUUUUAGCUUGUAUAUCAUUUGCUUAUUUUAGUAUUUUUGGCUUACAUAAAUUUUCAAGACAAAGUCGAGGACAUUUAGUGUAUAAAUUUACAAUCCUCCUGGAUCAAACUUAAAAGAUUCUGGCCCUUCAUCCUAAUCCUUCUGGUGUAGACGAUAUUACAACGAAGAAGAGAAAACAGAAAUUAUAUCAGGCGGAAAUUUAGCUUGUAACUUAAAGCAGUGUCUUGAACAUGAAAACUUGGAACAGUAAUUUGGUUUUGAUGUUCACUUCAAUGGUAAAAUUCUCUAUCGCCGAAAGCCUUCACAUGCUUCUAUCGAUGACAUUUCUAAUGACGAGGCCCUGCUUGAGCGAAAUCUAACACAAAACUUUGUUGUCAAAGGGUCUAGUUACGUCAGUUUUGCAGUUCAAAAUACUGGAUGUCGAACGGAAAGAAUGGGGAAAAUCUCCCAACCCUACUAUAACUAUGACACUUGUGCUCGCUGUUACAACUAUAUGCCUAAUUACGUAUUUGCUACAAGAUUUAAGUACAGAGGAUAUGUGCUGAUAAAUUCUCAAAAUGAAACAUUUAUUGCGAACCCUGCUAACUUUAGCCAGAAUAUUGUGGCUAGUUUCAUGUCAGAGCGUUACGCAAAUAAGUGGAAAGAAUGUUGUCUUGCAGCUGUUGAAUGCUGUAACAAAAUGACCUCAUCUCCCCCUUGGAGUUCAAAUUCUUCCUUUUGUCCGAGAACGUGGGAUGGUUGGCUUUGCUGGCCGGAUACACAGGCAGGCGUUCUUGCGAAACAGCCUUGUCCUAGCCAUAUUUAUUGGACUGGUAAUCCUCCGAGCUGUCCAAGAUACGCAGAAAAAAAGUGUUUGCUAAACAACACGUGGUUUCAGAAGUUUCCAGGAAAAGAAUGGACUGAAUAUAAUAAAUGUGGUAUAUUGAAGAUGGUUAAAGAACGAACAUACUUCCUCAUCGGCUCUUUCGUCGUUUCUGUGAUUGCCUUGAUUCCAGCUAUUAUCAUCUUUUUUGUCUACAGACAAUUUCACCUACCAAAGUAUAUUAUGCACAAGAACUUGUUUACCUCAUUAUUAUUGAAUGCUGUGGUCGUCAUUGUUUUCAACUCCGUUUUUAAGCUCCAAGAAUUACGUGUAAACAGUGAAACCGACGACUCUGUACUAAACCAAAAUGGCAGUGGCUGUAAGAUACUUCUGAUCUUAACUAAGUACUUCAGAAUGACGACAUAUAUGUGGAUGUUCUGUGAAGGUUUUUAUCUUCAUAAACUAAUUGUAGCUGCCUUCGCUAAACAGACGAACAUGAUUGUAUUCUAUGUCACUGGAUGGGUAUCUCCAGCACUUAUAGUGGGUAUUUACGGCAUUUUACGGAAAAUAUUAAAGGACGAGAGGUGCUGGUCCCAGUCUCUGGAGCCCUAUGAGUGGAUAUUGACUGCACCAAAUUUAUUGAGCUUAGUGUUUAACCUGUUGUUCCUGUGUAAUAUCAUCAGAGUGUUGGUUAUGAAAAUGAGAGCAGUUCAGACCAAUGAGCUUAACCAGUACAGCUGUGAAAGCAACGAUGGCACUAUUUCCACUAUUUGGCGUUCAUCUGUUCUUGGUGAGUUUUACACCUCAGUCGAUGGAGUGUGAAGCUCUAAAUAUUUACUACUAUUUCCAGCACAGCAUCGACGGUUUACAGGGGUUUCUAGUGGCUUUAAUAUUUUGCUACCUAAACAGAGAGGUUUUGGAUGCACUCACAAAAUCCUACAUACGGUAUAAAAAGCGCCAACAAACUCCUGGUCAUACGGCUAUUUCCAC
rnacentral:misc_RNA from 1 species